CUGAGAUGGAGUCUUGCUCUGUUGCCCAGGCUGGAGUGCAAUGGCAUGAUCUUGGCUCACUGCAACCUCCGCCUCCUGGGUUCAAGCGAUUCUCCUGCCUCAGCCUCCUGAGUAGCUGGGAUUACGGGAGCCCACCAUCACACCCAGCUAAUUUUUGUAUUUUUUUUUUUUUUUGAGACGGAGUUUCGGCGCGAUCUUGGCUCACAGCAACCUCCGCCUCCCAGGUUCAAGCCAUUCUCCUGCCUCAGCCUCCGGAGUAGCUGGGAUUACAGGCAUGCGCCACC
rnacentral:lncRNA from 1 species